AUCUUGUUGUAGACCCUCUUCUGAACUUCGCAGGCAAGAUGAAGUUCAUACGGAUUUUGGCUUUGUGAUGGCAGCUUAGCCUUUGUAAGCAGGCUGAUGAUACAUUAUUUGAGCAUCAUCAGAACAGAAUCCUGGAAAGCUGAUACUCUUCUUGAUGAAUAAUCCUAUGGAAAAAUUCCUAGAGGAUAAUUCAUGACAGGAUUGCAAUACAGUGAGGAAAGGAAAAUCUUUGAUGAAGAGACAGAAGUGGAUUUUUGAAUCUCUAAUGGAUGUAGGAUGCCUACUUUUGACCUGCUGUCUUGAUUAUAUGCACCAUUGCCCUCUACUGGCCAGGAGCAGAGCUAUGAUGGGUCCUUCCAGGGGCAAAGCAGCUCACCUUCCAGAAGAUACUUCAGCUGUGUGAAGAUAACAGCUGUACCGAGAUGCCUUCUUUACUCUCAGAAAGGAGCUGGGGAUUUGCAGUAGCACAAAGUUAAGGACAGCUGCCUCUCUUAUUUGUUGACAAGGAUGGAUUGGAUACAGAAUGAUCACACAUCUCCGCUCCACUUGAAACCAUCAGGCUCUGCGCUCCCUACUGCAACAAUCUUUUCAUCCAAUCUGAUGAUAAGUAUUAGAUGUAAGAUAUCUCACCAGUGGGAAAACCCCUGCCCAUGUCUUGGGGAAUAAGGGGGUUCUGGUAGUGCACUGCUGCUGGAAUGGCUCCUAUAACAUCACCUAAUCAACCCCAUCAACUUUUGGCUGUCUGAACAACAUCAAGUUGCUGGGAACUAGGCCAGUGGCUGAACCACUGAAGGUGAGGGGUGGACCAGCAACAUGUGCUCCUGACCUCUCAGCUUAAUGAGAAGCAGUUCAGAUAUGAUUCAUAGUCUGUAUAUCUAUGGAGAUGGAGCUGGUCUGUGGAAUUCAUGGCUCUAACUAUGUACAACUACGUGAUUUCACUUGUAUCCCUAGUUUUGAUCACAAACUCCCUGGUAAGAAAUUGGCUAAAGAUAUAUGGCUGCGAUGGCUCAUGGGGUGCAUAAAAGGAGACAAACACAAAAUGGGCAACAGUACUGCUGAAAAGGAGGUCUAAGGUAUGAUGUCAGAAACAGUUUUAUGCUUUACUGUGGCUCUAAUUUCACCCUGCAGAGUGAAAGGAGAGCAACUGGUGUUGGGUUAUCCUGUAACCAAUCUAACACACUUGAGAGUUCUCCUCAUCUCACCCUACGUGCUUUGCUCCUGCUAUGCUUUUCCAGUGAAACAGUGUGAGAGUAUUGCUUCUUCAAAUCUACUGAAAACUACAGAAUCUACUCUGCAUUGUUAUUGGAUGACUUUAUUGAAGAUGUAGGUCAGCCUCACAAAUUUCCUUUGUGCACUGGGAGCUAAAAUGAGCUAACCUUCUGUCAAGCAAUGAAUUCCGGUACAUUUUUUCCACUUUUGCAAACAUUAGACUGUUUGAGUGAAUCAAGUACUUAACAUGGCAUGAUGAGGAGGAACUCUGGGGAAAAGCUAGUGAGCUCAUAGUCCAAAACUGAUGCAGUCACAGUUUUCAAAGAAAAAGAAAGAAAAAAAGCCCUCAAAUUUUCCACUAUAAUAAAAACAGAAGCAAGUGCU
ensembl:lncRNA